ACUACGGGUGGCAGCAGUGGGGAAUAUUGGGCAAUGGGCGCAAGCCUGACCCAGCAACGCCGCGUGAAGGAAGAAGGCUUUCGGGUUGUAAACUUCUUUUGACAGGGAAGAGCAGAAGACGGUACCUGUCGAAUAAGCAACGGCUAACUACGUGCCAGCAGCCGGGGUAAUACGUAGGUGGCAAGCGUUGUCCGGAUUUACUGGGUGUAAAGGGCGUGUAGGCGGGCUGACAAGUCAGAUGUGAAAUCCGGGGGCUCAACCCCCGAACUGCAUUUGAAACUGUUGGUCUUGAGUAUCGGAGAGGCAGGCGGAAUUCCUAGUGUAGCGGUGAAAUGCGUAGAUAUUAGGAGGAACACCAGUGGCGAAGGCGGCCUGCUGGACGACAACUGACGGUGAGGCGCGAAAGCGUGGGGAGCAAACAGGAUUAGAUACCCUUGUAGUC
rnacentral:rRNA from 1 species